GCAUAUCAAUAAGCGGAGGAAAAGAAACUAACAAGGAUUCCCCUAGUAACUGCGAGUGAAGCGGGAAAAGCUCAAAUUUAAAAUCUGGCGGUCUUCGGCCGUCCGAGUUGUAGUCUGGAGAAGUGCUUUCCGCGCUGGACCGUGUAUAAGUCUCUUGGAACAGAGCGUCAUAGAGGGUGAGAAUCCCGUCUUUGACACGGACUACCAGUGCUUUGUGAUGCGCUCUCAAAGAGUCGAGUUGUUUGGGAAUGCAGCUCAAAAUGGGUGGUGAAUUCCAUCUAAAGCUAAAUAUUGGCGAGAGACCGAUAGCGAACAAGUACCGUGAGGGAAAGAUGAAAAGCACUUUGGAAAGAGAGUUAAACAGUACGUGAAAUUGCUGAAAGGGAAACGCUUGAAGUCAGUCGCGUCGUCCGGAACUCAGCCUUGCUUCCGCUUGGUGCACUUUCCGGAUGACGGGUCAGCAUCGAUUUUGACCGUCGGAAAAGGGCUGGAGUAAUGUGGCACCUCCGGGUGUGUUAUAGACUCUGGUCGCAUACGGCGGUUGGGAUCGAGGAACGCAGCGCGCCGCAAGGCAGGGGUUCGCCCACUUUCGCGCUUAGGAUGCUGGCAUAAUGGCUUUAAACGACCCGUCUUGAAACACGGACCAAGGAGUCUAACAUACCUGCGAGUGUUUGGGUGGAAAACCCGAGCGCGUAAUGAAAGUGAAAGUUGAGACCUCUGUCGUGGAGGGCAUCGACGCCCGGACCUGACGUUCUCUGAAGGAUCCGCGGUAGAGCAUGUAUGUUGGGACCCGAAAGAUGGUGAACUAUGCCUGAAUAGGGUGAAGCCAGAGGAAACUCUGGUGGAGGCUCGUAGCGAUUCUGACGUGCAAAUCGAUCGUCAAAUUUGGGUAUAGGGGCGAAAGACUAAUCGAACCAUCUAGUAGC
rnacentral:rRNA from 1 species